AUAUUUGGUUAAAAAAAGACAAAAAACAAAACCCCAACCCCCCUCCCCCAAACAGGGUUCUCUUUAGGUUCGACUUAACUAUUAUCUCGAGGCACCAUCUUUAAGAGUCACCCCGUGGUCUUAGAGACCAUGCAAACAUACCCCCAACGCUGCAGAGAGCAAAAAAAAGUUCCACUUUUAUUACAGACUUCUUUCCCCGUGUAGCUGACUUAUCAGCGGUCCCUGACGCUUUCAGUACGUGGGGAGGGUACGUGUGUGUGUGUGUGUGUCUCACACACACACACGGCUUUAGAUGAGUCACUCUCGGUGCACCUCCCUCGCCCUUGUUUUCCGACCAGCCCGGCCCCGCUCUGCUCCCACACACACACCCGGGACCGAGCCCGUGGGACCCCGGCCCGGGACGGGAAGAAGAUGGAAGAUGUGGGAGCCCCACUGGCAAGAGGUGGGUGAAGCAGUUGGAACACUGAUGCAGUAAAGGAAGGAUGGAGAAUUGAAGAGGCUGAGACUUGCCUCUGGGAAUAUUGUAUCCAUGCUAAAGGACUUAUUUGAAGACCCCAGAACUGGAUCAGAAGCUUUCUCAGCCCUCACAUGAAGGUGUAAUUGUGUUGACUCUCACACAAAGAGAACAUUUCUUCCAUUUUUGUGAGGAAUCACAGACAUGAGUCCAACAUUCAUUAGCAGCCUUACAAUAACAAAGCAAGAUGUGCAGAAUGGAGGGGAAUAAGAAUUUGGGUAAAGAAGCAUAUUUAAUUUUUUAAAAAUUGUUUUCAGUGAAUGCAAUACUUGUGAUAGUUACUGAUUUGACAUCUGUGGAGACUGAAGUCUUCUCUUUAUACACAGCCAGUUGUGAUUGUGUUUUCUGUAAUGUGGACAUGGGUCCACUAGAAACUGGUGUGAGACCCACUAAAUUCACUUGAAAUUCCAAGUGACUACAAAAGUGGUCUUUAAGACAAAGAUGAAAAAUACCUUGAUGGUUUAAUACAGGUAUUUCAGUUAAUGUGGUCUGUCAACAAUGCUCUGUGAUUUCUAGUUUUUUUAAUGUAUGACUCCCCUGUUCAUUUGGGCCUCACUUCUGCAAAUCUUUAUGCAUUUGAGUAGGUCUGUUGAACUCAUUGGACUAUUCAAUUGCAUAGAGUUACUCAUGUGUAUAAGUCUCUGCAGGAAUGAGAUCUUGGUUUCAAAAGUCUGCCAACAGAUUUCCUUCGUGAAAAAAUAAUAUUUUCUCAUUGUUUAUGGUAUGUGGUCAGUGCAGUACUUUAUAAACAGUUUAACAGCCCAGUCCACUGUGUAGUAGUUUAUUUUAAUACUCGCCUCUUGUAAUAUUAAUAAGAAAGAGAAACUCUCAGGUUGUAAAAUGCACUUUCUGUAACCUUCAAUUUGAUUACAAGUUUCUUCCAUUCUAAAAGAGUAAAAAGAAGAAAAAUCCUUUUGAAAGCACUCCAUUGUUCUGAACAAGGAGAUUUAGUUUACCUUCAGCAACCAGGUACAGUAGGAAAUCAUAUUUCUGUAGGGCAUUUAUAAAAUCAAGGGUUAUAUUUUUAAAGGCAUUUACUUGCAAACACUGUCUUUAAAUGACUUUGCCCAAGGAGAAAUGUAAAUCAAGGGUAUCACCUAAAUAGGCAAAUGCUGUUAUAUUUUAUCACAAGCUUCAAGAACUCCUUAAGGCAUCAAGUUUAAAAAAAGAGAGUGAGAUUAUGUGGGGGAUAUUUAUUAUUAUAAACUGCAAAGUCAACAGGGACUGCUGCUAAAUGCUCUUACAAUCGUAAUAGCCUAUCUUGUGUUAAUUCUAGCCUGAAGCUCCACGACUCUUUAUGUGCAGAGAUAAUGGGGGGUAAAACUACAUAUUUUUGGUUGAGCUGCAGAUUCUUCCCAACCAUGUCAAACAAAUUAAGCAGCCUUGCAAACUAAAAAUGGUUUGGGCAUUGAAGGAAUUCCCAGCAAUAAGAUGCAAGAGUUAUUACCCCUGGUAGAUAGCCGAUGCUGUAUUUUAUGGUUGAUAGUAGUUGUUUUGAUUGAAUAUUGCCUCUGUAAAUUGCUUGCAAAUAAUCUGCUUUCAACCUCAAACUUUACAGUCCAAAGAAAACUUUGUUUCAUAUAAUUCUUAUUGUUUAUACUCUCUCUCCCUCUCUCUGUCUAUGUGUGUGUGUGUGAAACGUAUAUUGAAUAUAUAGUUAGGCCUGGCAGAAUUUAAUUUUUAUUUUUUUAAUGGAUAGUAUUGUUUAUUUUUCAGCAUUUUUUUCUUUACAUUUUCAGUUAUGAGAAAUUGCGGGGGGGGGGUCAGACAAUAAUUAUUUAAUGGUAGUAGAUAUUGAGAUUCAAAAAGUUAAAGCUUUGUAACUAUUAAAACACAAUUUGUCACCAUGAUAUGUCAAAAUAUAUAAAGUAAAUAUUCUUAAACCAAAAUCUAAGUUAUCAAGCAGCAUUUUUCUUAUUUUGACUAUCUGUAAAUUUCAAUUAUUUUUGAUGGAAAUAUUUUUUGUCAGUUUGUUUGCAUACAGUGAAAUCGACAUUUGCUGACAUUUACCGAUAAAAAUCUUAUCUUUCCAAACCUAUGUAUAGUGUGUGUGUAUUCCAAGACAAAAGCUAUAUUAAGGGGGAUGGGGUGAAAUGGGGUAUCUGCAUUUAUUCUGAGCUCCUCCAAUCCUUGGGGAGGGUUAACUGAUCACUCCUACAGCUGCCCUUCCUGGAGCAAGGGCUGGAAAUAGGAGAGAGGACCCGGGACUUUGAGAAUGUGCACUGUCUCUGGUGGAGCCUGAAUGGUGGAAAGAAAGGGAGAGAUGUGUGUGACUGGAACUUGAAUGCUUUUCCUAAGUGACCGACUCUGGUCCUUUCAUCACCACAGGCGAGAAAGGGCCAUCCCAGAGGCCAGGCCAGGCCAAGCUCAUGUUAUAUUUAAGGAGACCAGAUAGCAAAUGUGAAAAAUAG